GGUUGCAGGAUGUAAGCAGGCUGACUGAGGGGGUGGUGGGGGGGCUUCUGGGAACCAUGUGCACCACCAUUAUGGUUCUCUCCUCCCUGGCUUUUGUACUGCGUCGAUAUYUCUUCGGCCGAGGCAAAACAUUUCCCAAAGACCCGGGCAAGAAGGAGACGCUCUCAGUGCCGAUCAGAGACCCCAUUAAGUGACAUUCAUCCUGUCACCAGGGUGUUUCUUCUCUCAGUCAACCCAAAAAAGGGGACUAAAAGUUGAGAUGUCUUCACAUCCUGUCUUCACCUGAACCUCAGAGUCCUCGUCUUUAUCCAUCAGCUCUCAGAUCCUGAGCGAUGUCACUAAUCUCUCAUUACUAAAUGAAACUUAAAACAAUCUGUUUAAAUGUUACAGAUUUCUUCUUAAAUCUACGCAUCAAUAAAAAGUCAGAUGUAUUUGUUUGGUUUGUACAUUAAAGCUUCCAAAUGUUU